rnacentral:rRNA from 1 species
UACGGAGGGGACUAGCGUUGUUCGGAAUUACUGGGCGUAAAGCGCACGUAGGCGGAUUUGUAAGUCAGGGGUGAAAUCCCGGGGCUCAACCUCGGAACUGCCUUUGAUACUGCAAAUCUCGAGUCCGGAAGAGGUGAGUGGAAUUCCUAGUGUAGAGGUGAAAUUCGUAGAUAUCAAGCGGAACACCGGUGGCGAAGGCGGCCUUCUGGACAGUGACUGACGCUGAGACGCGAAAGCGUGGGGGAGCAA